GGCACGAAUUAGAGAGAUCGUUCGAGGAGAGGAUGGCGGAAGAACGAUCCCAGUGGUAUGCGAUGAUGACGCCCCUUUAUGCUGCAAUGGGCCAAACUCCGCCACCGAUGCCAACCCCUUCUCGUCCACUUGCUCCACAGGCUCCACACACUCCUUAUCCAUCAGAGGGAUCGAAUACGCCUGGAGCUGGAGGUUCGCACUUUGGUACUCCACCUCACUUUGGUUAAGGUGGUAAUCAAGUGUGGAGUCCGUUACGGCCUGCAACAUUU